UAAAAUAAAAAGAAGCCCAAAAUUCGGCCCACAUAAAAUGGCCCAAAUCCUUCCUUAUCUCUCCCACUCGGUCUCUCUCUCUCUCAGACGCACGCUUCUCUCUUUUCUCUCUCACUGAAAAACUCAAAAUCCAGUCGAGCUCUCUCGACCUCGGCUCCGACGAGGUUGCCGGCGUCGCCGCCGCCUAAGCCCGGCAAGGUCGUGCCUCCUCCCUUUUUCCUAUCAGUCGGAUCUCUCUCUCUUUCCUCCCCAAAAUCUGCUCUUCUUCUUGAUUCAAAAACCAGUCGAUCGGCCCUUCCCAGCUCGCUCGACGUCUUCUUCUCCGGCCAUCCAGCCGCCUGCUCCGGUCGUCGUCAUCUGUCGACGCGUCAAAUCCCCGGCGCCGUCCUCUUUCCUCCCCCAACAUCGAGCCCUGAUUCUCAAGGAAUCAUUGCUGCUGCUGCUUCUACCCUUUCGAAAUUGGGCGGCCGGUCGCCGUCUGGGAGCGGCGUUGCUCCGGCCUGGAGCCCAUCGGCCUCCUCUCCUUCCGGCCGCUCUCUCUCUUUCUCGGCCAAGAUCUGAUCGGCCCUCUUCCUCGGUUGUUCAGCGGCCAUCGGUUCCGGUCUCUCUCCCUCACGCUGAAGUUCCGCCGCCGCCUUGUGAAGGCCGGCGAGCAGGGGAGUGUCCGACGCCCUCAUCGCGCCGCUGCUGCCCUUGGAAUGGUGCCGCUGUUCCUCCCGGCGGCAGGUGAAAGGCUCGCCGAUCCGCUGCUGUCCUUGGAUCGUUGUUGCUGUUUGGGGUCCCGAUGAGGUUCGAGUUGCGUCACGCCGCCUUCUUCCUCCGUUCCGGUCCCGAUUCAGAUGUCAAAGCAGGCGGGGAGUCGAGCCUUGUUUCUUUUCCGCCUCUGCCGCCAUGGUUCUGCCGCCAUCUCCACCGUUUGUGGAAGAUCAGCGAUUCAGCGCCGUUGUUUCGUUCGUGACGCUGCUGCUGUUGUCACGCAAUUUCCGCCGAGGCAGCAGGAGAUGCCGCUGAAAUCUGUCCUCUGCUCAAGAACCGGCUCAAGCCUCACUCUCUCCCUUUUUCUAUUGAAUUAUGCUCCACUGGCGAUCUAUUGAGUAAGAAGGGAGAAGGAUUUGGUGGGGAGCAAAAGAUAAUGGAGUUGGUGGAGUGGGAUGUUUGGUGAGGUGGGGUUGGUGUUGGUGCUGAUACUUUGAGUGUGGUGGGGAAAUUGGUGGAGUGGAGAAGUGGGGAGUAAAGACGUGUACAUCAUUAGCAAAAGAUUGAAAUAAUAACUGUAUUUAAACUCUAAUUGAUUGAAGAGCUUUUGUUUUUGUAAUAUACUAAACGAUUUUCCCCAAGCUGGGAACUAGCCUGUAAUCUGUGAACUGUAAAUAAAUACUGGCUUCGAUUUUCAAUCA